rnacentral:rRNA from 1 species
UUCCGUAGGGGUGAACCUGCGGAGGGAUCAUUACCGAGUUUACAACUCCCAAACCCCUGUGAACAUACCACUUGUUGCCUCGGCGGAUCAGCCCGCUCCCGGUAAAACGGGACGGCCCGCCAGAGGACCCCUAAACUCUGUUUCUAUAUGUAACUUCUGAGUAAAACCAUAAAUAAAUCAAAACUUUCAACAACGGAUCUCUUGGUUCUGGCAUCGAUGAAGAACGCAGCAAAAUGCGAUAAGUAAUGUGAAUUGCAGAAUUCAGUGAAUCAUCGAAUCUUUGAACGCACAUUGCGCCCGCCAGUAUUCUGGCGGGCAUGCCUGUUCGAGCGUCAUUUCAACCCUCAAGCACAGCUUGGUGUUGGGACUCGCGUUAAUUCGCGUUCCUCAAAUUGAUUGGCGGUCACGUCGAGCUUCCAUAGCGUAGUAGUAAAACCCUCGUUACUGGUAAUCGUCGCGGCCACGCCGUUAAACCCCAACUUCUGAAUGUUGACCUCGGAUCAGGUAGGAAUACCCGCUGAACUUAAGCAUAUCAAUAAGCGGAGGA